CCUAUUCAAUAAAUGGUGCUGGGAUAAUUGGCUAGUCCUAUGCAGAAGAUUGAAGCUGGACCCAUUCCUUACACCAUAUAAAAAAUCAACUCAAGUUGGAUUAAAGACUUAAAUGUAAACCCCCAAAUUGUAAAAAUCCUGGAACACAACCUAGGCAAUACCAUUCUGGACAUAGGAACAGGAAAAGAUUUUAUAACAAAGACACAAAAACCAAUUGUAACAAAAGCAAAAAUUGACAAAUGGGAUCUAAUUAAACUUAAGAGCUUCUGCACAGCAAAAGAAACUAUCAACAGAGUAAACAGACAACCUGCAGAAUGGGAGAAUAUUUGCAAACUAUGCAUCGUGGUAUCUUUAUGCUUGAAUCAUUAAUUCAACAAAAUCAAGAUGGAGAUACUGAAUCUGCAUGAUGUUUCUCCAUUAGUGAACAGAGGAUCAUAAUUAGAGUUGGAAAGGAUCUUUAAAAUCACUUAGUUCAUACCCACAUCUUCCUCUCAUUCGUCCCUCAAACCAAUGUUUGCACUGCCUUCACACUUUUCCUGUGAAAUGACCAUCCAUGGAGAUGAAAUUGCUUACCCUCUCUCAGUUUCCACAAUUGCAAAAGGCGAAUAUUACCUACGUCACAAGAUUGAAUCAGAUAAUAUAUAUAAAGCAUUUAUUACAGUGCCUAGCAAGUGUUCAAUAAAUAAAUCCCAAAUAUUAGCUUAAAAAUGCUAGGACAGUACAGUGUGCAACCCAUUAAUAGAGUGUGAAAUCAGUUUUAGUGUGCAGUGACCAGCAGUUUUUUAAAGAGAAGUAGAAACAUGUAGUGUGUGUGUUAUUAUACGAAAUAUUUGUUUCCAUGUAAAUGUGGGUUUAUAUGUUAUAUAUUUAUA
rnacentral:lncRNA from 10 species